GACGGAGGAUGCAAGCGUUAUCCGGAAUUAUUGGGCGUAAAGCGUCCGUAGGCGGUUUCAAAAGUCUGUUGUUAAAGCCCACAGCUCAACUGUGGAUCGGCAAUGGAAACUGUGAGACUAGAGAGUGGUAGGGGUAGAGGGAAUUCCUAGUGUAGCGGUGAAAUGCGUAGAUAUUAGGAAGAACACCAGUGGCGAAGGCGGUUCUCUGGGCAUUACCUGACGCUGAGGAGCGAAAGUGUGGGGAGCGAACAGG
rnacentral:rRNA from 1 species